rnacentral:misc_RNA from 1 species
GAUGAAGAACGUAGCGAAAUGCGAUAAGUAGUGUGAAUUGCAGAAUUCAGUGAAUCAUCGAAUCUUUGAACGCACAUUGCGCCCCUUGGUAUCCCGAGGGGCAUGCCUGUUCGAGCGUCAUUUCAACCCUCAAGCACUGCUUGGCGUUGGCGGAUUGCGUGCCCUCGCGGCGCUGCAACCGCCCAAAUACAGUGGCGGUCCCGCUGCGGCUCCCUUUGCGUAGUAACUCACCUCGCACUGGACCGGGCGGCGGCCUGCCGUAAAACCCCAACUCACGAAAUGUUGACCUCGGAUCAGGUAGGAAUACCCGCUGAACUUAAGCAUAUCAAUAAGCGGAGGA